CAGAGGGGGCAAGCGUUGUUCGGAAUUACUGGGCGUAAAGGGCGCGUAGGCGGCCUUCUAAGUCGAACGCGAAAUCCCCGGGCUCAACCCGGGAACUGCGUCCGAGACUGGAAGGCUCGAAUCCGGGAGAGGGAUGUGGAAUUCCAGGUGUAGCGGUGAAAUGCGUAGAUAUCUGGAGGAACAUCGGUGGCGAAGGCGGCAUCCUGGACCGGUAUUGACGCUGAGGCGCGAAAGCCAGGGGAGCAAACGGGAUUAGAUACCCCGGUAGUCCUGGCCCUAAACGAUGAAUGCUUGGUGUGGCGGGUAUCGAUCCCUGCCGUGCCGAAGCUAACGCAUUAAGCAUUCCGCCUGGGGAGUACGGUCGCAAGGCUG
rnacentral:rRNA from 1 species